rnacentral:rRNA from 1 species
UUUUAUGGAGAGUUUGAUCCUGGCUCAGGAUGAACGCUGGCGGCGUGCCUAAUACAUGCAAGUCGAGCGAACGGACGAGAAGCUUGCUUCUCUGAUGUUAGCGGCGGACGGGUGAGUAACACGUGGAUAACCUACCUAUAAGACUGGGAUAACUUCGGGAAACCGGAGCUAAUACCGGAUAAUAUUUUGAACCGCAUGGUUCAAAAGUAAAAGACGGUCUUGCUGUCACUUAUAGAUGGAUCCGCGCUGCAUUAGCUAGUUGGUAAGGUAACGGCUUACCAAGGCAACGAUGCAUAGCCGACCUGAGAGGGUGAUCGGCCACACUGGAACUGAGACACGGUCCAGACUCCUACGGGAGGCAGCAGUAGGGAAUCUUCCGCAAUGGGCGAAAGCCUGACGGAGCAACGCCGCGUGAGUGAUGAAGGUCUUCGGAUCGUAAAACUCUGUUAUUAGGGAAGAACAUAUGUGUAAGUA